rnacentral:rRNA from 1 species
CCUACGGGCGGCAGCAGUGAGGAAUAUUGGUCAAUGGCCGAGAGGCUGAACCAGCCAAGUCGCGUGAGGGAAGACGGCCCUACGGGUUGUAAACCUCUUUUGUCGGGGAGCAAAGCGAGUCACGUGUGACUCAUUGAGAGUACCCGAAGAAAAAGCAUCGGCUAACUCCGUGCCAGCAGCCGCGGUAAUACGGAGGAUGCGAGCGUUAUCCGGAUUUAUUGGGUUUAAAGGGUGCGCAGGCGGAGGUGCAAGUCAGCGGUCAAAUUGCGGGGCUCAACCCCGUACUGCCGUUGAAACUGGCAAACUGGAGUGUGUGAGAGGAUAGUGGAAUUCCAGGUGUAGGAGUGAAAUCCGUAGAUAUCUGGAGGAACAUCAGUGGCGAAGGCGACUAUCUGGCACAUAACUGACGCUGAGGAGCGAAAGCGUGGGUAGCAAACAGGAUUAGAUACCCUUGUAGUC